rnacentral:rRNA from 1 species
CCCUUAGAUGUUCUGGGCCGCACGAGUGCUACACUGAUGCAUUCAACGAGUCUAAAACCUGGUCUGAUAGGGCUGGGUAAUCUUUUGAAAGUGCAUCGUGAUUGGGAUAGAUGAUUGCAAUUCUUCAUCUUCAACGAGGAAUGCCUAGUAAACGCAAGUCAUCAGCUUGCAUUGAUUACGUCCCUGCCCUUUGUACACACCGCCCGUCGCUCCUACCGAUUGAAUGAUCCGAUGAAUACCAUGGAUUGAGAGUACGAAUAGGUUCGCUUAUUUCUGCUGCUCGAGAAGUGGAGUAAAUCUUAUCAUUUAGAGGAAGGAGAAGUCGUAACA